GACGAACGCUGGCGGCGUGCUUAACACAUGCAAGUCGAACGGAAAGGCCCUGCUUUUGUGGGGUGCUCGAGUGGCGAACGGGUGAGUAACACGUGAGUAACCUGCCCUUGACUUUGGGAUAACUUCAGGAAACUGGGGCUAAUACCGGAUAGGAGCUCCUGCUGCAUGGUGGGGGUUGGAAAGUUUCGGCGGUUGGGGAUGGACUCGCGGCUUAUCAGCUUGUUGGUGGGGUAGUGGCUUACCAAGGCUUUGACGGGUAGCCGGCCUGAGAGGGUGACCGGCCACAUUGGGACUGAGAUACGGCCCAGACUCCUACGGGAGGCAGCAGUGGGGAAUAUUGCACAAUGGCGGAAGCCUGAUGCAGCAACGCCGCAUGCGGGAUGACGGCCUUCGGGUUGUAAACCGCUUUCGCCUGUGACGAAGCGUGAGUGACGGUAAUGGGUAAAGAAGCACCGGCUAACUACGUG
rnacentral:rRNA from 1 species